rnacentral:rRNA from 1 species
AGAGUUUGAUCCUGGCUCAGGAUAAACGCUGGCGGCAUGCCUAAUACAUGCAAGUCGAACGAGAGCACUUGUGCUCUAGUGGCGAACGGGUGAGUAACACGUAAGGAACUUGCCCCAAAGACGAGGAUAACCAUGGGAAACCGUGGCUAAUACUGGAUAGGAUAUAGAUUCGCAUGAACCUAUAUUUAAAGACGCGUUUGCGUCACUUUGGGAGAGCCUUGCGCAGCAUUAGCUAGUUGGUAGGGUAAUGGCCUACCAAGGCAACGAUGCUUAGCUGGACUGAGAGGUUGAACAGCCACACUGGGACUGAGACACGGCCCAGACUCCUAUGGGAGGCAGCAGUAGGGAAUUUUCGGCAAUGGGCGAAAGCCUGACCGAGCAAUGCCGCGUGAACGAUGAAGGCCUUCGGGUCGUAAAGUUCUGUUGUUAAGGAAGAACAGUCAGAAGAGGAAAUGCUUUUGAUUUGACGGUACUUAACCAGAAAGCUCCGGCUAACUACGUGCCAGCAGCCGCGGUAAUACGUAGGGAGCGAGCGUUAUCCGGAAUUAUUGGGCGUAAAGCGUGCGUAGGCGGCGUGUUAAGUCGAAUGUGAAAGCCCACAGCUUAACUGUGGAGGGU